rnacentral:rRNA from 1 species
UACGUAGGGUGCGAGCGUUAAUCGGAAUUACUGGGCGUAAAGCGUGCGCAGGCGGCUUCGCAAGUCAGACGUGAAAUCCCCGGGCUUAACCUGGGAAUGGCGUUUGAAACUACGGAGCUGGAGUGUGGCAGAGGGAGGUAGGCAAUUCCACGUGUAGCGGUGAAAUGCGUAGAUAUGUGGAGGAACACCGAUGGCGAAGGGCAGCCCCCUGGGGUUAACACUGACGCUCAUGCACGAAAGCGUGGGGAGCAAACAGG